rnacentral:rRNA from 1 species
AAUCAACGCUGGCGGCGUGCCUCAGACAUGCAAGUCGAACGAGAACCUCCCUUCGGGGAGGGGACAGUGGCGCACGGGUGAGUAACACGUGGGUAAUUUACCUUUGGGUGGGGAACAACAGCCGGAAACGGCUGCUAAUACCGCAUAAUGCAGCGGCUCGACAUCGAGACAGUUGUUAAAGCGGGGGAUCGCAAGACCUCGCGCCUGAAGAGAAGCCUGCGGCGGAUUAGCAGUUGGUAGGGUAAUGGCCUACCAAGGCGACGAUCUGUAACCGGCCUGAGAGGGCGGUCGGUCACACUGACACUGACAUACGGGUCAGACUCCUACGGGAGGCAGCAGUCGGGAAUUUUGGGCAAUGGGUGAAAGCCUGACCCAGCAACGCCGCGUGAAGGAUGAAGCUUUUCGGAGUGUAAACUUCAUAAGAAUGGGAAGAAUAAGUGCGGGAUAAUACCCUUCACGAUGACGGUACCAUUUGUAAGCUCCGGCUAACUCCGUGCCAGCCGCCGCAGU